rnacentral:rRNA from 1 species
AGUGAACGCUGGCGGCAGGCCUAACACAUGCAAGUCGAGCGGCAGCGGGUCCUUCGGGAUGCCGGCGAGCGGCGGACGGGUGAGGAAUGCAUCGGAAUCUGCCCUGUCGUGGGGGAUAACCUAGGGAAACUUAGGCUAAUACCGCAUACGACCCACGGGUGAAAGCGGGGGAUCGCAAGACCUCGCGCGAUAGGAUGAGCCGAUGUCCGAUUAGCUAGUUGGCGGGGUAAAGGCCCACCAAGGCGACGAUCGGUAGCUGGUCUGAGAGGAUGAUCAGCCAGACGGGAACAGAGACGCGGGCCCGACGCCGACGGGAGGAAGCAGUGGGGCAGCGGGGGAGAAGGGCGGAAGCCUGACGGGGCCAGGCGGCGGGAGGGAUGACGGUGUUCGGAUUGGAAAACGCUGUUAUGAGGGAAGAACAGAGGGGGAAGGACCUGGGGAGAGCGUGACGGGACCGAAAAAGAAAGCCACGGCUAAGUACGUG